ensembl:misc_RNA Metazoa_SRP Metazoan signal recognition particle RNA
GCCAGGCAUGGUGGUGCAUGCCUGUAGUCUCAGCUACUUGGAAGGCUGAGGUAGGAGGAUCAUUUGAGCCCAGGAGGUCAAGGCUCCAGUGAGCCGUUACUGCGCCACUGCAGUCAGCCUGGGCAACAGAAUGAGACCCUGUCUCAA